rnacentral:lncRNA from 1 species
CUUAUGAAGCAAGCAGACUCAUAUUCAACACUGCAGCAUAUCUCCUGCUUUGUGUGGAGCUGCUAUUCCUUGUGUUUUUUAAUAAGAGUAAUGUCUAACAUGUUUGCUUGGGUGGAAAGUUGGUCUGUAAGGCUCCAAUCUGGUGUUACACUGAUGGGAUCGAGUAAAUGCAGGUUUGUGCUGGCAGAUGCCUCCCUUGACAGGUUGCUCCCAAAAAAAACAAAUGAAACAAAAGAGGAAGGGUAAUUGUUGCUUCAUUCAGCUGUUGUAUGCAGCGGGUGAGGAGGCUGAACUGAACGCUUGAUGAUGGGAAUCAGAUGCUUCUGGGUACCUAUUAUUUCACACUGAACUUCCUCCCCAAAAGGGGUUUAUUUAUGCAAUCAAAUGCAGACAUGCAUUGAAAAAAAACUGUUUGUGUAUUUAAUUUACCUGUAUGUUUUAGUUUUACUUUUCCUGAUUGUAAUGGGUUUUGGUGUGUAAGACAAGACACCAUGUUCCCUUCUUCACAUGUAUCACCAUUAGUUCAGCUCAGGUGUAUUACUGGUGUUUUAGCGCCCUCUGGUGGUUGUAAAGAGUUCUGUCUGCAUGUGUUCAUACAUCAAGCAGAACAACUUGGGGAAAAAAAACAUAUACCAUACACUAGGGCUGCACGAUAUGAGGAAAACUCACAAUUUGCGAUGUUACUGAUCAACAUUGUCAUGAUGAUGUUGAUAUCACUUAUGAUAUAUAAACAAAUAGCAAAAAGCAAAAACAUAAUUUCAUUUCACUGCAAUAGUUUUAUUUCAAUAACCAUUUUAAAGCUAGAUUUUCAAAGUUUUUCCUUUUGUUUUGCCCUUAGCCGAUGGGGUUUUGGUGGAAAAUGUGUGCAGCUGUUCACUCUUUGGUUUUUGUCUAAAUGAGUACAAAAAACAAUAAUAGUAAUACUAUUAACAAUAAGACAAAGACCAACUUGGGUCAAAUUUUUUUUUUACAUUUGAUAGAGUGAUAGAUAGUAGUGAUAAAUAGGUAGUAAUAGUAAUAGUAAAAGUAAAAGUGAUAGAUAGGUUAACAUAGAAACCAAUCAAUAAAAGCUUGAACUUCAAUACGCUAUCAGAUUUAACACAUUCUGAUAUGUUGCCUGAAAACCUGCUUAAACUGUUCUGCAGGCCUCUUUUUCUUCUGACUGUCACUUAAGUUACAUGUAAAUUACUAGAUUUAUCAGUUAUUUUUAUCUAAUUACUAACAGUUUUGUUUGAUUUUGAUAAUGCUUCAAAUAAAAAGAAAUAAAUUUAUGUAUAAAAUGUUUUUGAUUAUUAGAGUAAGUCUCUUGUGUGCCGUUUCUGUUUAUGCUGUGCUAACAGACAACGCAGGUCAUGGUUUCUCAUGAGGCCAUAAGCUUUAUUAAGUAUGCCUUGGUAGAGGCGUUGCAGCAGUUGUUUACUGUGUGGGCUGCAUUCCAGACAUGCCCUGUGUUUAACAGCGGUGGAGGCGCCUUGUGUGGUGUUGGGAGGGGGAGAGGCUGCAGCCCACGGAGCCUGAGAGGCCUCUGCUCAGAGGCGUGGUCCUGAACCCGGAUCAGCACCAAGGCCAGCGACACGUUGAAUACUGCAGAAUCACAGCUGAUUCGUGUUUGUUUUUUAGUGCAUGGGGAUUUGGACUGCAUUAAUCUCCAUAGAGAAUCAAACUUUUGUUUCUUAAAUAGUGUGCAGAUUUGAGCCAUGAUCAUUAACUUCAUUUUUCUGUGAGGCAAAAUCCUCCUUUCCUUUGUGGUCCGUUCGUGCAGAGUCACGACCCAUCAUGUGCUCACACAAUGCGGAGCUAAGGGAAAUGAGAGCGUCUGGAUGCAGACUGCAGCACCAGCUCCGCACAUCGAUCCCAUUGACCAUUCUGCUUGCACAGCAGAGACAGCUGCAGUGACACAGACAGUGCGCACACGAAAGUUUUGAUCCGUGCAAUCUGGAAAAUAACCCUAUGAUCGGUGCGCAAAUGUAUUAAGAUGUGGGAUUCAUCAAAUGUGCGCCUUGGGAGCACUGAAGGUGAAACAAAACUCCAAACACAGCCGUGUUCGGUCCUGGACUGCAGGACAGAGAUGAGCUGCAUGAGUGAAGCCGUGUCUCCCCAGAGGGUGGAGGCUUUUUUUUUUUUUUUUUUUGCAAAAGCUUGCAGGUUUCCCCUGAUCUUGUGUUGUUGCUGCGUCAAAUGAUGCGCCACGGCACCCUAUAGCUAUAAAAGCACCUGUCUUGGCCAGACAUCAUUCGCAUCUCACUUUUCUC